CAAUUAAACUACGUUAAAAUAUUAAAGAAAAGGAGGAAAAGUUGGAGCUGACUUCAAAAAGGUUACGUUCAUUAAAUGUCUUGUCGCACAAGAAAUAAGGGCGCCCUUGAGAUGCGUUUUUGCGCACUUCGCUGGUGGCGGGCAACACAAAGCCAAUUAAUGACGUGAGAAGGGGCCAUUUUAAGCUCAAAUACAAUGGACACACAAGCGUAAGCAAAACACAGCCACGGAAGAAAUACAAUUCAAGGUUUUGGCGUUACACAACGUUCAAAGGAGCCGCGGGUUCUGGCGGCAAGCGUUUGAGUCUGGGCGCUUGUACAAAACGAUGUUUUUGUACGAGGUGCUAAGGGGUCCAUUUCCGGUUCGCAUUUGUUACAUCUUCCCGUAAUGUUUCUGUAAAUCUUUUCUCUAAGCAUACGCAGUGUCACUUAAUUAGCGAGAUUUGUAGUUGAUAAAUGAGUCAGACAUCCCAUCCUUGUUUUCAUUCAUUCAUUUUUUUUCCGGUAUUUUGUUUCUACCAAACACGCUAUCAGAGUAAAUCGAAAAUCAACGCCAUAACGAUACAUAUAUAAGCUUACCAAUAGUUUCGCUCAGGACACAAGCAUUCAAAAUGUUGAUAGCCAGCGACGAGUCUUAAAAGAGCGGAUUGAUUCUUAACAGCAAAACGCCAAAGAUAUUGACAGAGUAAUCUAGAGUAGCUAAGAAGUUUCCUUGUCAUUUUGAUUUAGUAAUGAUGUCCUUUACGCAACCAAAGAGCUGACAGAAGCAGAUAACUUCUAGAGGGCUUCUAGGCGGAUCAUGCUUGAGCGGGUAACGUAUGUCACCAUCGUUUGCCUACUGAUUUGUUCUUCGCUGGCUCUACCGUCCAAGCAAGCUGUUAAGAAAGCCGAUUUUCACCGAACGUCCGUUAAACCAAACCAACAAGUGGCCAAGUCUACAAGCGUGCAAAAAAUGAACAUUCUCCAAGUUCCAACCAACACAAGAGUCGUUAGACUCUACAACAAGAAUGGAUUCUUUCUCAAGAUCUCCACGGCGGGAAAACUUAGAGGCACCACGAGCUUUCACAACCCAGACAGUGAGUACACGUUGAUUAAUCACAAAUCACAAAUUCAACAAGCUACUUUUGCACGAUCAUUCAUUCGGACGGUGCGCAAUGUUUUGAUCUGGUUGAUUUCUAUGCUAAUUAGAAGCACGCACAACCACAUACGGUUUACACUUUAAGGCAAUGUGAUUUUGACGCGUCUUUUAGAGAAGCUUGUUUUGCUACAGAUAGUGAACGGUAAACAAAACCCCCGGACCGCUAGACUAUAGACAGCGCGAACUAGUUGAAGUUUGUUCAGUGGUAAGUUUGGUUUCGUUCCACAGCUAAGUCCUCGCGUAGUUUGUUACGCGCCAACGAGUACUGCGUCGCCAAAUUCUUAAACAAUCCUUACAAUAUUUCAACCAGAUAACGUGCGCAUAACUUCAGCAUAGAGCUUAGUUAGUCGAUCUUUCACAGGGUUGUUUCUACCGGAAAGCUAACAGACUGUCCGGCCGUCAAGGAGAUUUGGCGACUCAAAAUACUAAAAACAGUUACUAAUUUCCUUAGAGACAAGCGCACUUAACAUGACAACAGUGGAAGCUUCGCGAAAGGACAGCAUAUCUUAAUAAAGUUAAGGAAUGACUGCAGAUAGUGAUUGGAGUCACUGUGCCUAAAGCACAAGAUUUGCAAUCUCGUAGCGUAGAAAGGAUUUAUCGGACGCCUUGAUAAGACGAUAGUGGAUUGAUAAAGCGGACCGUACAAACAUAAUAACUUCAGGGCUAAUGCUAGCAAUCAGCCAAAGUUAAACAUAGCAGAAUCACAACGCCGCGAAACUUGUCAUGUAAAUGUUGCUGGGAGUAUUUCGCGGUCUUUACAAAGAGCACGACGAAUGACUUUCAAGUGUUUAAUUGAAAUGUCUUUUUUGUGGGUGUAAUCCGUGGGUCCGUGAAAAUGAGAUAUUACCUCCAUUCUUCCAUUUAUUUGAAGAGCAGCAAUUUGGACAGCAGUUAUAGUAACACUAUUCAAAAGAAAACUGCGCUAAUUAAACUGUUAUACGUCCCGUAGGUAAUUUGCACUAAUUGCCUGUGAAAUUGAUGGCCCACGCUCUCGAGUUGAUUUUCGAGUGACACGAGAUCUGCAUUUACCAAAACGGAUUCCGGCAAAAUCGCGCUGCGAAGGGAAAAGUCUACCGUUGGGUGGAUCGACAACGCGCUCGUAGCGGAGUGCUUUGCAGAAACCACCGCGUCAUCAAACAAACACUGCAGUUCAUUAGUCUUUAUUUGUUUACUCAUUUCCGGAGACCGCGGGAUGUGUGCGCGCCCCCCUUGCAAACGAGAAAUGGGACCUCCCGUGGUCAAGGGAAAUGGCAAAACGCAAGAACUGUUUUCGUCGACAGAAACGCGCGCCGAUAAGGCGCUGCAGAGGAAAUAAGCCUGGAAAAACGUACCCAAAGGCUAAAGUGUUUACAAAGCCAGCUCUUCAAAUGGUUCUUUCCGGAAAAGCCCGUCGCCCUUUGAAAUAGUGGCCGGUGAAGUGGUCACGGAUGUGUUUUGAAGAUCGAGAUGAUAAUAAAACCAUAAAUUAAUGUUAUUGAGCAUUUCUAAAAGCAUUUCGGUGGGCUUAAGGGCGACAUACAGCUACUUUGGCGCGCCGCAAAUCCGGCAAUUUUACAAUGUCUUCGGAAAAACAUUAUAUUCACCCUAAGAAGUAACCAGACUUUGGCAUUUCUCGUUUACGCAAAACACGUUUUCUUGUCGUUAAUUGUUCUCCACUUCUAAAGGUCAUUUUUUUAUAAGUAAACGUCUAGACGGUAUGGAAAUUCCAGACCCCUUCUUCUUUGCAAAGACACUUUGGCAAGCAUCUUCCUGCUCGAGAUUACUCCGAUAAACUUUGGUCCUCUCACCACACAAGUAAAUAAGAUGAUCGGUGAUUAUAUUAUCAAGCCUGUUCGAAAUCCUUAAAUCUCUUCUUAACUAGAUUACAAGUCUUUAAAGAGCACGCGACAACGGAAAAAUUAAAAACAACGAAACUCGCCAGCGAUACCACUGGCUAAUUGUAAAGUGUGUCUCAGUGUCAUCUGCAUGAUCUUGCAAAUUGUCGUUCCAAAAUAUCACAGUCGUAAAUCUUGAGAUUCUUUCAUUGCGUGAUACUCACAUGGAGACAUUGACUUAGACAACUUUCAAAAUUAUUGAUAUAUGUCUUGACACUUUGAACAUUAUUUACACUGCAAAGCAUGUUGGCUAAAGUUAGAUAGUGGCUAUUUUUAGCGAGUGUUUGAGAAGAGCUCGUCAUCAAACAUUGACAGGGAGAAGUGGAAAAUUACUAACAAUUAAAAUUUCGCGAUAAACUCUCAGCUGGUCGUGAAACUAAUAGAAACGUUGGUUAACAGAACGAAGAACGAAAAAGAGAAAACGCAUCGAUAACACGUCUGAUAUUCAGAGAUAUAAGUUCGACCCAAUCCGCCAAAAGUUGAAAGUUUUCCACUGAAGAAGUAGGAUAAGUGUGUCUGACGUAGAUCAAGGAUCACUGAUAUAAAAGAAGGGUUAUGAACUAUAUUACUUUCAUUCAGGAGCUUUAUAAAUUGCGCAAACAGUAUCUGAUAUUGCGCGCAAUUUCAAGCCAAAGCUACCACACAUAACACAUAAUCAGUUUAGACACUGCAGGAAGAAUAUUGUUGUCCGAGAAACCGGCUGCAGAAUUGAUUACGGCGUGAAAUUCUUGUCUCCUCGUUGGCGCUGUUGUUCUUAUGCUGCUUUUAUUUUGUUCUUCGUAAAACUACCAAUAUCUUGCAUGUGCGAUAUAUCCGCCAUGUGUUCUGUGAUUGGUUGAAAUCAUUAUUCACGAUGUUUUUCUAAAAGCGCAAAAACAGUAAAAAAAAAAACAAACAAAAACAAAACAA